UCCAAUUUUUGCUGACCGGCCGGUUAAGGAAUCAGCUUACUCUCUGAUGUUUAACCGGGCGAUUGGUUUCGCGCCACACGGGGUUUACUGGCGAACGCUGCGAAGGAUCGCUUCGAACCACCUCUUCAGUCCUAAACAAAUCAAACGAGCCGAAACGCAGAGGCGGGGGAUCGCUAGCCACUCUCUCCUUGCCAUCGUAAUAGUAUGGCUCGCCUUCUCUCUCUUCUUCUGGACCUAUCCCGGUGGACCUGCAUGGGGCAAACACCUCUCUCGCCGGUUAACUAACAAAACCGGAACGGUUAUUCCCGGUCCAAGAGGGUUCCCUUUCGUGGGAAGCAUGUCUCUCAUGUCCAGCACUCUAGCUCACCACCGAAUAGCGGAAGCAGCUGAGAGAUACGGAGCCAAACGCCUCAUGGCUUUCAGCUUAGGCGAGACACGCGUGAUCGUCACGUGCAACCCCGACGUGGCUAAAGAGAUUCUGAAUAGUCCAAUUUUUGCUGACCGGCCGGUUAAGGAAUCAGCUUACUCUCUGAUGUUUAACCGGGCGAUUGGUUUCGCGCCACACGGGGUUUACUGGCGAACGCUGCGAAGGAUCGCUUCGAACCACCUCUUCAGUCCUAAACAAAUCAAACGAGCCGAAACGCAGAGGCGGGUGAUCGCUAGCCAGAUGGUGGGGUUGCUCGAGAAACAGAGCAGUACUAACGCGCUCUGUUUUGUUCGUGAGCUGCUCAA
rnacentral:lncRNA from 1 species